ensembl:piRNA 21ur-5348 ncRNA
UUAAUUACGGAUACUGUUCAA